GUCGAAAGGUGGCCAGUGAAGGAGAGGGUAAGGAGCGUGCGACCAACAGACCAAACAUGCAGUAAUGAAAAUGUGCUAGCCAGUAAUUCACAAGCGAGUCUUGAACAAGCGCUAGUCAGCCAGGAGUGGGAGGCGUGCGUGACCAAAGUGUGAGUGAGUCGCGACCAUGUUGGCGUGGCGUGUGGCGUUGGUGGUGGCCGUGGUGCCUUACCUGGCGGGGGCACAGCUAGCCACGGAGGCCCAGGACCCAGCCGCGGAGUGUGAGUGUUCCCCGGCGUGUGAGGGCGCGGUGGAGGGCAGUUGUCGCGGAGGUGUAGUGGAACGGGAGGACUGCCCGUGUUGCAACGUGUGCGCGAGGCAGGAGGGGGAGGUGUGUGUCCUGCCCUCCAUGCCCUGCGACACCAAGUUCGGCCUCUUCUGCUCUCCUGACGGUGUUUGCAAAGCUGAGUUCAAGUGUGUCGCCGAUAAGGAGUGCGCUGAGGAUCGCUUCUGCCUCGGCGGUGUGUGCGUGGACCCCUGCCCGAUCCUUACGCCGUGCCAAGGGACUCUACAGGGCGGGAAGUGCUUUUCCAGAAACCACCAACCCGUCUGUGAGUGUCCGGAAGGCACCUUUAAAAACCCAGAGGACAAUGCGUGUCUCCAUGUCAACAGCACUGCUCAAGGCUGUGAGUACGAGGGCCGCCUGUACGCCCCCGGUGAGGCGCGCUACACCCAGCACUGCAUGGAACGCUGCACCUGCCAAGCUGACGGAACCUUCACCUGCGGCCCUGUCACCUGCCCGCCAGGACUCUUCCUGGCUGGCCACCACGCACAGCAAGAACUCUGCAUUGAGCUGCGUAAUCGCCCAGGGGCGGACGAGUGCUGCGUAGUGGUGGCCUGCGCCAACAGCCUGGCGCGCCCCGCGGGUUCUGAUGCACCGCCGUUGGGCCAUCUGCCACCCGUCGCUCAAGAAGAAAUGUCAAAAUUCCCCAUCACGGGCCGCGCCGUGAAUGCUGCACCGAACAGGGAGGAGUACCAAAAGAAGCUCAUAGAACUGGAGAAGGAGCUUGCUAAAGAAAAGAACAAUGACAAGAAAGCAUCGAGAGACGAGACUGCCUUCGAGGAGACAGACACAGCCACCGAUGACACGCCGAUGGAAGAGAUGGAGACCACCACGACUGUUCCUGAUGCAAACACCGAGCAGGCGCCGAUGGUUGACCCCAUGGAGAUCACCACUCUUCCGUCCGAGGCUGAAGACUUUGCUCAAGCUGUGAAAGAGAUGACAGAAGCUGAAGCAGCGACCACUGUCACCCCCCUGACGCAAGAGGAAGCAGCAGGGCAGGAGGAGGAGGAGGCCCAGCAGGCGGUGGUAGUGGAAUACGACGACGCAGGCGAGCAGGUGCACCGCAUCACCGUGGAGGAGCAGGUGUUGGUGGUCACCACGGAGGCUGCCACGCCGGCGGGAGAAGAGGAAGCUGCCACUGACGUUCCUCCUCCGUCUGAUCUCACGGGGGAGGAGGAGAUGACCAGAGAGGGGAAGAGCGCUGCAGCAGAAGGCGAGAACAUCACCACUGAGGAACAUCGGGAGGUCUCCACGGAGUCCCCCAAGCUGGAGACGAAGGGCGGCGUGGGCGGCCUCAAGGUUCGUCAGGUGACACACAACUCCACCACUCUCCUUCUGCCCACGAGUAAAGGCGGCGACCUCUAUUACAAGGCUGUCGAUGGACUGGAGUGGCUGCAGAAGCAAGUCGAAUCCGGAAAAGACUCGACAGAACUCACCGGCCUCCUGCCAUCCACUCAGUACACCUUGAAAUGGACAGGUUCCUUCGGGGGAUCAGCCAAAAUUAAUGUAGAGACUGAGGGAGGUUGUCGGCUCAAGAACAUGUCCCACGCCAUUGGGGAGAUGUGGUUCGACGGGUGUGCCAAGAGGUGUUCCUGCAGACCCUCCGGCAAGAGUGAGUGCCAGCCCAGGUGUGCCCUCCAACCUCGUGACGGUGCCUUGCAGGACCCGACGUGUGAACAGCGACCAGACCCCGCAGACCCAGAGUGCUGCUUCAUUUACGAGUGUCCCGGCGACAGUCAGGUGCAGGCGGCGGAGGGGCAGGGCGUGGAGGCCAACCUGCCCAAGCUGCUGGUGACGGAAAAGACACACAACUCCAUCACCCUCGCCUGGGAUGACUUCAGGGGCAGGACUUACGAGGGAGGCUACGUGGCUGAGUACAGGAAGGAGAUGGAGGUGUCGCCUGGUGAGGAGCUGCCCUGGAUGAGGAAGGAGGUGCCCAUCGGUGAAUUCCAACCUAGACUCACCGUGGAAGGUCUGGAGCCUGACACGCUCUAUGAGGUACGAGUGUCUAUUUUCGACGAGGCGGAGGACAAGCAGCGAGAGAGCACAGAGACCAUCAACGUGAGGACGGAGGCUGGAUGUGUCUACGGGAACGAGUCUUACCCAGUGGGGGAGUUCCUGCAGGGGUGCGAGAUGCGGUGCAAGUGUAUGGCCAGCGGGGAAGUGCAGUGCUUUGAGCGAUGUUCUCCGCCUUUCGUACGAGCUGGAUCAUACCGCGACGACCCGAUGUGCAAGGAGGUGCCCCAUGACACCGACGAGUGUUGCGUGGCGGUGCAGUGCGAGAGCAGUGCGCAAGCAGCCAGGGAGGAAUGUGUCAACGUGGUGUGUGGACCCAAUGCCGAGUGCUCUGCGGACGUGGCUGUGCUGAAGGACCUCACCCUCGUUGAUGGAGAGGCAGACGAGGCCACGAACUUGUGCCGCUGUCUGGAUGGAUUUAUUGGCAACGCUUCCGAUAUUGUCACUGGCUGUAUUCCAGACCCAACCUCAGGAUCUAAGGAGGGAGGCUGCACCUUCAAGAACAGCACAUACAGGCCUGGGGAUGUGUUCUACGACAUGUGUACCCUGCGCUGCACCUGCAAUAACAACACCGAGCUAGAGUGUGAGCCUCGUUGUGAAUUCUCCCAUGAGGACGGGACAGAGAUGGAUCCUGGCUGUGAGUACGUCCCAGACCCUGAUGACUCCUGCUGCCAAAUCCGUGUCUGCAACUCCACACCAGAGGCUGCCACUGAUGCUGCCCACACCCCAUCUCUACUUUCUGAUGGCUGCACACAAGGCAAUGUCACUUAUGCCAAACAUGCUACCUUCUACAAUGGCUGUGAAUCUCAGUGUGUCUGCAUUGGCUUUGGUGACAUCUCCUGCACUCCAAGAUGUCCACCCUUCAAGGUCAUGCCUGAAGGUGCAGAGAAGUGUGAAACUCUGCCAGACCCCAACGACUCAUGCUGCUCCAUUACUGUCUGUGACGAGCCCACUCCAGAUGUCAUGAGGGCCAACAUCACCGAAUUGGAAGAUGAAGUGAUGAGAAAUAUGACAGAGACAGAUAAGGAAAUUAUGAUGAAUGAAAUGAAAAACAUGACAGACAUGGAGAAGGAAAUCAUGAUGAAGAAGAUGCUGAAUAUGACAGACACAGAGAAAGAAGCAGCAAUGAAGAACAUGACAGAAAUUGUUGAUGAGGUGAUGAAUGAAGCCCAUGAGCAGGAGUCCACUCAUAAUGACACCCUUGGUCAUGAUCACACCCAUGAAAACGAACAUGAACUGACUGGUGUACACACUCAUGAACACACUCAUGCUGAUGGCACUACCCACUCCCACCCUCAUGACCACAGCAUGAACCACACUCAUGAUGAGGAUGGCAUGAUUGAUGUACACUUGCACACUCAUGAAGAUGGAACCACACACAGCCACCCUCAUGAUCCCAACAUGGAACAUUCACAUGACCAUGAACAUGGCAUGGGUGACAUGCACACUCAUGAAGAUGGAACUACCCACACUCAUAAUGACACCUUUGGUCAUGAUCACACCCAUGAGAAUGAACAUGAACUGACUGGUGUACACACUCAUGAACACACUCAUGCUGAUGGCACCACCCACACUCACCCUCAUGACCACAGCAUGAACCACACUCAUGAUGAGGAUGGCAUGAUUGAUGUACACUUGCACACUCAUGAAGAUGGAACCACACACAGCCACCCUCAUGAUCCCAACAUGGAACAUUCACAUGACCAUGAACAUGGCAUGGGUGACAUGCACACUCAUGAAGAUGGAACUACCCACACUCAUAAUGACACCUUAGGUCAUGAUCAUACUCAUGAAAAUGAACAUGAACUCAUUGGCAUACACACUCAUGAACACACUCAUGCUGAUGGCACCACCCACUCCCACCCUCAUGACCACACCAUGAACCACACUCAUGAUGAGAAUGACAUGACUGAGUUGCACAUGCAUGAACACACCCAUGAUGAUGGAACCACACACAGCCAUCCUCACAGCCAUGCCAUGAAUGACACACAUGACCAUGAACAUGGCAUGGGUGACAUGCACACUCAUGAAGAUGGAACUACUCAUAGUCAUAAUGAAACUUUUGGCCAUGAUCAUACUCAUGAGAAUGAACAUGAACUGACUGGUGUGCACACUCAUGAACACACUCAUGCUGAUGGCACCACCCACACUCACCCUCAUGACCACAGCAUGAAUCACACUCAUGAUGAGGAUGACAUGAUUGAUGUACACUUGCACACUCAUGAAGAUGGAACCAUACACAGCCACCCUCAUGAUCCCAACAUGGAACAUUCACAUGACCAUGAUAUGCACCAUGAAAAUGAUAUGGAUGGAAUUGGCAACCACACUCAUAUCCAUGAGAAUGGUGUUAUACAUUCUCACCCUCAUGACCAUGAAGGGGAUGAAGGCCACAAUCACACACAUUUCAACAAUGUUUUGGAUAAGAAGAGUCGAGCAGAGGAUCUGGGCACCCAUGACCUCAACAUCCUGAAGGUGACGGCUGUCAACGCUACCACAGUCAUGAUCCGAGUGGCUGUCUCUGAUGCUGUCAGGCUCAAGGUUCUUUCGUCUGAGGACCAGCACUUCACUGUCCUGUUCAGUCCUGACUCCCUAACUUGGUCAGAAAAGAAGAUCUUUGUGAAGGAUAUUGAAGUAGAGAACCUGAAUGAGAUUGUCAUGUACCUGAACGACCUGCAACCUGCAACGGCCUACCAGUUCCGUGUGUCUUUCCUUGACCUAGUCAGCUCCACCUCGAAGGCCACACUCCUCAGCAGUUCCUCAGAUCCAGGUUUGGCAAUAGACGCUAGUCAGAUGUGUUCCCACGAGGGGAGGUACUACAAGCCUGGCCAGGAGUUCUAUGAGGGCUGCUCCUAUGUCUGCAUCUGCACCGAAAGUCUGGAGGUGCACUGCGCUGCCAUCGAGUGUCCACUGUCCUUUGGCCUUGAGCUUAUUGAUCCUGACUGUCUGGACUGGAAAAUUGACCCAGACCACAUCCCUGAGCCACCCAAGUGCUGUGGCCAGAUGAAGUGUGUCUCCACCUCAGCCUGUCAGUACAUGGGGCAAACCUACAAGAAUUAUGACCAGAUCCCUCGAGAGAUUACUGGCUGCUCCCAAGUAUGUACCUGCAACUAUGGCAAUGUGACCUGCCGUGACCUGUGUGACCCUGUACCCACCAUCCCACCCAUUGACCUGCAGUGUGCCCCAGAACAUGCUGUCAUUGUGACCCUUCCUGGGGAGACCUGCUGCAGAGCCUGGCAGUGCGCUACUCAUUCUGUUGAAAGUGUCCCUGCCACCUUUCCUCUGCCCCCUGUGUCUGUGGUGGGAGCCCCACCCACCCCCCGCCCUCCUGCCCGCCACCUUCCCUGCCACCCCUUACUUUGGGCCAGAUGAGGUGAUCUCCAAGCCACACGUUUCAUCGCUGGAUGCCUCAACCAUCCACCUGAUUUUCACCACUCCCUCCCUGUACCAAGGCCUGCCAGGAGAACUCUUCCUCAGAUACACCAGUGACCCAGAAGGACAACCGGAUCCCAACACCUGGAUGAGGGAGGUCCUGGUACCCAUGGGCUCCCUCAUCUUCCAAUUUGAGUGGGACCACAUGCUGACCGGCCUGGAGCCUGCCACUGAGUACACUCUGCAGGUGGUGCUCACUGUCCAGGGGGCUGAGCCCAUCUAUUCCCCUGUCUUCACCUACACCACCAUGGAGGAAGCCACUGAUCCACCGACCACCACUCCACUGCCACGCCUGGACAUUGAUGCCGAGCUCUACGCCUCAGAGAUCACAAAGACGUCAGCCAAGGUCUCAUGGAGAAGCUUUAGUGACUAUGAGCUGCAGUACAUUGAUGGUGUACAAGUCAAGUAUACUCAGAAAAAUAAUCUGAUCCCCAAGUUUAGUCAGCUGUUCCACCAUAACAACGACCAGAUGGACCUUCGUGACCUCCAGCCUGACUCCACCUACACUGUGGACCUUGUGUUCAUCACUCACGAGAACCAGACCACCAAGGUGACCAACACCAAGCCAAUCACCUUCACCACACUGCCUGAGGAAGAUCCUUAUGACUUUGAGAUUAGCAUCAGGACUGGCAAGAUAACCUCCCAGACUGCAGAGUUGCUGUACUCAGGCAUACCUGAGCCAGAAGUGAAGUAUGUCAGUGUGUACCGUGUUGUGUACAUCAACGACAAUGAGAGAACUGACUCACAGACCUUCAAGAUCCCCCAGAGUGGCCAGGACAAGAUGGUCUACAUCAACGAGUUGAAGCCAGAUGUGAAGUAUGUGGUGUGGCUGGAGGCUUUCCUAUCCAAUGGCCGCAAGAAGAAGAGUAACGUGGUGGAGUUCUCAACUAAGGCUGGCCAACUUCCCAAGCCUGAGAAGAGUGAAAUUGAUCCUAAUGAAGUAGAAAGCAACGGAGAGAACUACUAUCCCGCCCUGGUUGCUGUUGCUCUCAUUGCGGCCGUGGCCUGCCUGGGCUUCCUUGCACUCCUUGUCAUUCUCCUGAGAAAACAGAGCCACGCCAAGGCUCACAUUAACUCAUCGAGGAACGCCUCGUAUGACAACCCGUCAUACAAGGUAGGGGACAAUACUUAUGACAUGGAGAUGAACGGCAUCAAGGGGAACAGUGGGAAUGGCGCCACACAUCCAGAGGAGCAGCCUUAGUCCCCCACUGCAGUCUUCCUUCUCACCUUCCCUGUGUCCUGUCUCAGUGGCUGUCCCUUGUGUGUCAAUCUUAAGGAGUUUUUUUUUAUCAUGUCUUUGUCUUUGUUUUUUUUUUUUCUGUUUACAGAAAUUCAGCUCAUGUAAAAAUUGCUUCAGUCAAUACUUUUGAUGUAAAUAAGUACUAUGUGACAAUAUUCAAAGUCCUGUUACUAUGCCAUUGCCUGAAGUAAGAUGCCUGAGAGCUAAGCAUUAUUAUUAUUUUUUUCAUGAACUUUUAUUAUUAUGUAGGUUAAGGUUCACUGCAAGGAAACCUGCUGGUGAGAGUAAAUGUAUAAAAUAUAUACGAAUAUAUACUCAGGUGUUGAACGCAGUAAUUUCAAUGGUGACUGGUAAGGGAUAACGUGUAAUAUACAUUCGUACGUCCGUCUUAUGACUCCUUUUUUAGAUUAUUCUCUUAUAUUUUUUUUCUCUAAUGAUUAGACACCAUAAUAAGCAACCCUCAAGCUUAAUACUAACGUGUGCUUUAGUCAUUUACACAUUUUCUAUUCCUAGUUAUUUAUAGUUUUCUAUAAAUCAAGAAGUAACCCAGAGUAAUGAGCUGGUGCUCCAUAAAACCAUUUGGUUGUGCCUUUCUUAGCAACAGUGCUGUAUGUAAGUGUGCCAUUAUUGUAUGCUAGCACAAACAAAAUGUAUGGUAGUGUUCCUGCAUCUCUGUCCCACAAUGAACUCAGUCUUGUUAUAAAGCAUACUGAUAGUUGUGGAUGGAGGUUCAUUCCAAUUAUUAAACUGUGUUGUUGCCAGGGUCAGAGAUCUUCAGAGCUCACUUAAUAUUGCUUGUCCCCUCAACAUAUUCACAUUGUGCUCAUGAAAAAAAAAAAAAAAAAAAAGCAGAAACAUGGUUUCAGUUCUUGAACUGAAUUAUCUUGUUCUGUGAUAAAGGAAUUGGUUUGAGAUCCUUGAUGGUAAUUGCAGCUUUUAACUGUCAGCUGGUGUCUGUACUUGUCAGCCAGAGCAAGUGUUGUCUGACUCCUCUCCCAUUCCUUUUGUAGAUAGAAAGAGCUCUGAAGGCUGCCCCUGGAACCAUUGCUAUGGAGUGUACAUGUGAUAGUUGAUUGACCUACAGCAUUGCACUAUAACAUGAGUGUUGUCAGGUCAGGUUAUGCAAUAUAAUUGUUAGGAACAACUUGAGCUUAGAAUGUAUUUUCUAUUUUUUUAUAUUUUGAUAAACAGUCACUGUAAAUCACAAGCUCUCCCUGUCAGUGGUGGUGGCUAGGAGUGUCUGCUGACUGGCCUGCCAGGAGCCGUGUGGCAGGCUGCAUGAGAUGUCACUUUCUGGCCUCCUUGUAUUUGUCUGUAACAAACCCAGAGAAAAUAUAUUGUAAAGAUUACCACAACAGUAUACUAUUUUAACAAAAUUUUAUGCAUUACUCCAAAAUAUAUAUUAUAUAACUUGGCAUGUUUUAAUGAUUUCAAGUUGACUUGUUAAUAUUGGUGCAGCACUUGUACAGUUAUUAUUGUAAAGAUUUUGUGCAGAUAUGCACAUUAAACUACCCUUUUUAG